rnacentral:rRNA from 1 species
UAGGGAAUCUUCCACAAUGGACGCAAGUCUGAUGGAGCAACGCCGCGUGAGUGAAGAAGGCUUUCGGGUCGUAAAACUCUGUUAUUGAAGAAGAACGUGUGUGACAGUAACUGGUCAUGCAGUGACGGUAUUCAAUCAGAAAGUCACGGCUAACUACGUGCCAGCAGCCGCGGUAAUACGUAGGUGGCGAGCGUUGUCCGGAUUUAUUGGGCGUAAAGCGAGUGCAGGCGGUCUUUUAAGUCUGAUGUGAAAGCCUUCGGCUUAACCGAA